GACGAACGCUGGCGGCGUGCUUAAUACAUGCAAGUCGAACGGAAAGGCCCUGCGCUUGUGGGUUGCUCGAGUGGCGAACACGUGAGUAUCACGCGAGUAACCCGCCCUUGACUUUGGGAUAACACCAGGAAACUGGGGCUCAUAUCGGGUAUGAGAUCCUGCUGCAUGUUGGGGGUUGGAGAGUGUCGGCGGUUGGGGAUGGACUCGAGGCUUAUCAGCUUGUUGGUGGGGUAGUGGCUUACCAGGGCUUUGACGGGUAGCCGGCCUGAGAGGGUGACCGGCCACAUUGGGACUGAGAUACGGCGCAGACUCCUACGGGAGGCAGCAGUGGGGAAUAUUGCACAAUGGGCGGAAGCCUGAUGCAGCAACGCCGCGUGCGGGAUGACGGCCUUUGGGUUGUAAACCGCUUUCGCCUGUGACGAAGCGUGAGUGACGGUAAUGGGUCAAGAAGCACCGGCUAACUACGUG
rnacentral:rRNA from 1 species